GACGAACGCUGGCGGCGUGCUUAACACAUGCAAGUCGAACGGAAAGUCCCUGCUUUUGUGGGGUGCUCUAGUGGCGAACUGGUGAGUAACACUUGAGUAACCUGCCCUUGACUUUGGGAUAACUUCAGGAAACUUGGUCUAAUAGCGGAUAGGAUCUCCUGCUGCAUGGUGGGGGUUGGAAAGUUUCGGCGGUUGGGGGUGGACUCGCGGCGUAUCAGCUUGUUGGUGGGGUAGUGGCUUACCAAGGCUUUGACGGGUAGCCGGCCUGAGAGGGUGACCGGCCACAUUGGGCCUGGACUACGGCCCAGACUACUACGGGAGGCAGCAGUGGGGAAUAUUGCACAAUGGGCGGAAGCCUGAUGCAGCAACGCCGCGUGCGGGAUGACGGCAUUCGGGUUGUAAACCGCUUUCGCCUGUGACGAAGCGUGAGUGACGGUAAUGGGUAAAGAAGCACCGGCUAACUACGUG
rnacentral:rRNA from 1 species